rnacentral:rRNA from 1 species
UACGAAGGGGGCUAGCGUUGCUCGGAAUCACUGGGCGUAAAGCGCACGUAGGCGGAUUGUUAAGUCAGGGGUGAAAUCCUGGAGCUCAACUCCAGAACUGCCUUUGAUACUGGCGAUCUUGAGUCCGGGAGAGGUGAGUGGAACUGCGAGUGUAGAGGUGAAAUUCGUAGAUAUUCGCAAGAACACCAGUGGCGAAGGCGGCUCACUGGCCCGGUACUGACGCUGAGGUGCGAAAGCUAGGGGAGCGAACGGG